rfam:Nematostella vectensis strain CH2 x CH6 NEMVEscaffold_85_Cont11352, whole genome shotgun sequence.
ACCGCUCACGAACAUAGGGACACUGUUCGCGAAACUUUCGCGAACAACGUUCACGAAAUUCGCAAACA